AGGGAGAUUAAGGAUUAAUAAAGAACACCUGGCUUCCUCCAAUCCAGGGGAUAAAACAACCUGUUCUCAGUCACAUGAAUGUCUCUCUCCUUUGCUGAACUAGAACACCAGAUUUCUUAUGUAUCUAUUUUGAUCUGUUUAAGUUCAAUUAUUUAUCUCUUUCUUUAUCAUUUUUGUUUGGUGUUGGCAGUAUUUGGAUAGGCAGGUGGAUUUUGGGGCAUAACAGAGUAAAUGAUGAACUGAUCAGCUGAUCCUUAAAUCGUACAUUCCGUGUGCUGGCCAUCAGUUUAUUCCCACAAUAUAUUUGCAGGUAAAUUGUGACAGAUGCAUCAAAAAGGAAAGACUACUUCAAAAAUCUUCUUCUGUUUGUCUUUUCCAUCAGAAUACUACAGCACAUCACCUGUAUCACUUCAAAUGUGUUCCCCUAGAUAACAAAAGCAAGGGUGGACAGGACUCCCCCAAAGACUGCGCUGUCAUGACAAUGAUUAUGAACCUUGCCAGAUUCCCUCAGUCUCUUUCUUUCUCUCUCUCUCCCUUUCUCUCUGUGGUUUAGGAGUAUAUGUAGAUCUGUCUUUAAUUAAGGCAGUUGGUGUCAGAAUGAGAUAAGCAAGGAAUGUAGUGAUCACAUUGUAAUGAUGUCUCUAGCGGUGUAGCGACACAGAAAGGGCAGACUGGGCACUUAUUGGUGGGCAGCUCCUGAUGUGCAGAAAGAUACAGGAUUUGCAUAACUGUUAACGGUUAACUGGUUCAUGACAUCUGUGUACAGUGUUUCAUUUGAUUCAAUUAAUCAAAUGUAUUUGUGAAGUGUAUGUGAUUCUAUCAUGCAGUUCUGCUUUUUCACACUGUGGCUUUGUGUGUGCUGGAAAUUAGGCAGAGAUACAUUAUAUACUUUUAGCUGAAUGAAUAAUUAAGCUAUACUGUUCUUGAUUCAAAUUGAACAUUCAUCAACAAUUUUGUUUGCAUUAUGCUAAAGGAGCUUACUGGCUCCCAAAGUGGUUCUCUUGAGUCCACGAUAAACUCUGCAGUCAGACUUUUUUUGUCAUCAUAUGACCAGGAGCCCAGAGUGGUUAGAGAUUAAUUGGACUUGUUCCACCAGGAGUAAGGCAGGUUUAACAAGUAUUUAUUGGAUUACCCCUUUUUUUUCUUCAAAAGAAACAACUCACCAGCUGCCCUCAGGCUAACAGGUGUGGUGUUUAGAUGGCAGAGGGCAUAUGAUCACCCUGCUUGUUGUGCAGGUGGCAUAGCUUGAAGGGCACAUUUGGCAGUUCCACAUAAAUGCCUUCAACGCAGCAAUUACAAAUGCAGUUCACAAUCUCAUUUGAUCAAUAGUGUUCAUGAUAAUAAAUACAAGAAGCCCGUGGGCUCUCUGCAGUAUCUUGAUGCAUCAUGGAUUUAAUAUGUAAUGAUAUGUAAUCAAUAUUACUUCCAGAUGAAGUCUGUAAAAUAAAAUAAACUACUCUGACUGAAAUUAAAUCAUGCCAAA